rnacentral:lncRNA from 1 species
AUUUUCUGCCUUCAUGGCUAUCUAUUAUCUAUCUAUCUGUUAUGAAGACAGCAAACCAGCCAUGGCAUGUGAGUACCUAUACAGCAAUCCUGCAAGAUCUGCACAUGUACCCCAGAACUUAAACUACAAUUCAAAAAAAAUAAAAAAAGAAAAAUAAAUAAAUAAAGAGAUUCUAGAUGAUCCAUGCACUUAUCCAAAAAGUAGAGGUAGACAUAGACAAAAGUGUUGUUUCCUUCUAUUCCACGCUAUCAAAAGCUACUGUCUCAAAUCUUAGGACUUAUCUUUGAUUACACUGCACUGUUGGCUUUUGAUCUAACUGUUGGUUUUCACUUUCAAUUUUCCAGUCUGAGGAUCCUGUCUUUCUACUUGGUGUUGCUGGUAAUGAUUUCAGUGUUCGUUAGGAGAACUGGUGCUGUGAAUCAGAAACAAAGAGAAGAAACACAGGUUCUACAAUGAACAUAUAUUACCAUUAUAAUACAAAUAGUGAUAAAUAAAAAAACAACACGGUAAGAGUCUCCAUAUGGACACCAGCUUUGCCUCCCUCCUUGAUGAAUCCUCCACUGAUUCCUCAAGCCUACAAUAUUCCCUCCCAGCUGAUUCCUUCAGCAGACAGCCACAAGCUCUGACUCAAAGAUGGUUUGUUGCAAAUCAGCUAGUUUAAGUAAAAGGGAUUUCUCAUAAAGACAGAUAAGAAGCAGGACACAUUUUAGGAUCUCAUCAACAGGAGUCCUUGGAUUUUAUUUAUUACUCUUAUGGUAGCCUGACUCAGCAUCCAGCUUCCUUAGUGCCUAUGUUAUUAGUUUAAGUUCUUGAACAUGUCACUGUGACUGGCCAUACAAUGGAUUGGCUGCACCUGUGUUGGUAACCAACCUGGCCCAUCACCUGUGGCUGGCUGGCUAGCUGAGAUUAAAGAAACUGUUGUUUUAUAGUGUAGAGAGUUAGGAAAAUCUACUCUCUCUGGGCUAGACUAUAUUGAGAUUUCUUUAUUUUCAAUAAGACGGAAAUUUCACUACAGCGUGAAACAAGUCAAGCAAUCACAUAACCUGCGUUCCCUAUCAAAUGCACCCUCUGAGCAAUAUCUAAGUAUUACUCUACUGUUUUUCAACCUCUGCCUGAAUGAAAAAAAUCUUCAUUUUUCCUUGGACUUGGGCACUCUUCCAAUGACUGGAAGCAGACUACCAAAGGGUUACCUUGGUGCUAGAGUCUCAGCUUUGAUGUCACCCUAA